GCUAAACGCGAAGAACCUUACCCACACUUGACAUGCCUCUUUUGGCUUUCAGAGAUGAUUGCCUUCGGUUCGGCCGGGGAGUGCACAGGUGCUGCAUGGCUGUCGUCAGCUCGUGUCGUGAGAUGUUGGGUUAAGUCCCGCAACGAGCGCAACCCUUAUCGUAUGUUGCCAGCAUUUAGUUGGGCACUCGUGCGAGACUGCCGGUGAUAAGCCGGAGGAAGGCGGGGACGACGUCAAGUCAUCAUGGCCCUUACGUGUGGGGCUAGAAACGUGCUACAAUGGGAGUGACAGUGAGCAGCAAGGUCGCGAGGCCAAGCUAAUCUCCAAAAGCUCUCUCAGUUCAGAUUGUAGUCUGCAACUCGACUACAUGAAGUUGGAAUCGCUAGUAAUCGCAGAUCAGCAUUGCUGCGGUGAAUACGUUCCCGGGGUCUUGUACACACCGGAGGUCGG
rnacentral:rRNA from 1 species